rnacentral:lncRNA from 1 species
CUACAAGCAAACUCAAGAGCUUUCACUCCACACUUGCCCACACGUUUUUGCCUCCAAGCUUUCAAGUGCUCAAGUGUCCUAGCUUUCCAAAGCUUCAAAAGCUCUCCAACUUCUUCUUCUAAUCUUCUUGUUCAUCUUUACAAGUAAGAAGUGUUGUUUGCUUUAAUAUUCCACUCCUCUAAUCACCUCUUGUGUGUGUCCACUUUGGUUGAGAGGGUUGUCUCAAUAGUACCAAAGUGUUAGAGAAGGUUUGUGAGCUCAACCAUAAAGCUCUAGUUUGGUUUUAUAGAGUUUCCGGGAAAACUCUUAGGUUGAGUCUACCUUUAAAGCUUAGAGAGGUUUUUAAGAGUUCCUUGAUACUCUAAGGUACUAACUUACCCGUAAAAGUUAGAGGUUCUUAAAAGUGCCCUUGAUACUCUAAGGUGUGAGUCUACCCGUAAAAGACUGGUUCCUAAGCGAAGUAGCCUUAAAGCUUAGAGAGGUUCUUAAGAGUUUCCUUGAUACUCUAAGGUUUUGCCAUUACCUUUAGGCGAGUGAAUUCCGACAGUUGGUCGGGACUGGACUAGCCCUUGUUUGGGUGAACCAGUAUAAAUCUCUUGUGGUGUUCUCUGUUAAUUAUAGUUCUAUCUUUUACUUAAAAAACAACACUUAAUUAAAAAGAUCCCUCUUCCAGUUAUCUGGUCAAACACAGAGGUUGACUACUUUACGCAGAUCCCUCAUCCAGUUAUCUGGUCAACUAUCUGAGGUUAUAUUCAUUGCUUUAAAUCCUUAUAUUUGUUCAAGUAUUACUUAUCAUAUUUAUCCAGUUAUCUGGUCACUUACUUGUUUAUCAACUUAUCCAGUCAUCUGGUCACUUACUUGUUUGUCAAUAUAUCCAGUUAUCUGG